rnacentral:rRNA from 1 species
AAUUUGGCCUGCCCCCUGAUUUAAAGUUUAAAGGGCCGCAGUAUUAAUAACUGUGCAAAGGUAGCAUAAUCAUUAGGUUUUUAAUUGGAAUCUUGUAUGAAUGGUUAGACAAAAGAAUAACUCUCUUUAUAUUAGUAUUGAAUUUAACUUUUAAGUGAGAAGGCUUAAAUUAACUAAGGGGACGAUAAGACCCUAUAAAACUUUUACAUUGUAAUCAUAUUUUAGAAAAUUUUUAAGAUAAAGAUUUAAUUUGGUUAUUUGUUAUGUUGGGGAGACAUAAGUAAAAUAUUAUUUUAACUGCUUGAUGAUUUAAAUACAAUUAUUAGUGAUAAAAAUGUAGAAGAUCCUUUAUAAAGAUUAAUAGAUUAAGUUACUUUAGGGAUAACAGCGUAAUUUCUUUUAAGAGUUCUUAUCGAAAAAGAAGAUUGCGACCUCGAUGUUGAAUUAAAAAAUCUAUAUAAUGAAGAGGUUAUAUAAGAGGGUCUGUUCGACCUUUAAAAUUUU